rnacentral:rRNA from 1 species
CAAUAGCGUAUAUUAAAGUUGUUGCGGUUAAAAGCUCGUAGUUGGAUUUCUGCUGAGGACGACCGGUCCGCCCUCUGGGUGAGUAUCUGGCUCGGCCUUGGCAUCUUCUUGGUGAACGUAUCUGCACUUGACUGUGUGGUGCGGUGGCCAGGACUUUUACUUUGAGGAAAUUAGAGUGUUUCAAGCAGGCAUACGCCUUGAAUACAUUAGCAUGGAAUAAUAAGAUAGGACUUUGGUACUAUUUUGUUGGUUUGCAUACCAAGGUAAUGAUUAAGAGGGACAGUUGGGGGUAUUCGUAUUUAAUUGUCAGAGGUGAAAUUCUUGGAUUUAUGAAAGACGAACUACUGCGAAAGCAUUUACCAAGGAUGUUUUCAUUAAUCAAGAACGAAAGUUAGGGGAUCAAAGACGAUUAGAUACCG